UUGUAUUUUACAGACCAGGAGGAACAGGUUUAUUGUAUUUUACAGACCAGGAGGAACAGGUUUAUUGUAUUUAACAGACUAGACCAGGAGGAACAGGUUUAUUGUAUUUUACAGACCAGGAGGAACAGGUUUAUUGUAUUUAACAGACUAGACCAGGAGGAACAGGUUUAUUGUAUUUAACACACUAGACCAGGAGGAACAGGUUUAUUGUAUUUUACAGACCAGGAGGAACAGGUUUAUUGUAUUUAACAGACUAGACCAGGAGGAACAGGUUUAUUGUAUUUUACAGAACUAGACCAGGAGGAACAGGUUUAUUGUAUUUUACAGACUAGACCAGGAGGAACAAGAGACUGACCUGAACAGGUUUAUUGUAUUUUACAGACUAGACCAGGAGGAACAGGUUUAUUGUAUUUUACAGACUAGACCAGGAGGAACAGGUUUAUUGUAUUUAACAGACCAGGAUGAACAGGUUUAUUGUAUUUUACAGACCAGGAGGAACAGGUUUAUUGUAUUUUACAGACCAGGAGGAACAGGUUUAUUGUAUUUAACAGACCAGGAGGAACAGGUGUAUUGUAUUUUACAGACCAGGAGGAACAGGCUUAUUGUAUUUUACAGACCAGGAGGAACAGGUUUAUUGUAUUUUACAGACUAGACCAGGAGGAACAAGAGACUGACGAGAACAGGUUUAUUGUAUUUUACAGACCAGGAGGAACAGGUUUAUUGUAUUUUACAGACUAGACCAGGAGGAACAGGUUUAUUGUAUUUUACAGACUAGACCAGGAGGAACAGGUUUAUUGUAUUUUACAGACUAGACCAGGAGGAACAGGUUUAUUGUAUUUUACAGACCAGGAGGAACAGGUUUAUUGUAUUUUACAGACUAGACCAGGAGGAACAGGUUUAUUGUAUUUUACAGACUAGACCAGGAGGAACAAGAGACUGACCUGAACAGGUUUAUUGUAUUUUUACAAAACUAGAACAUACUGAAAUUGUGUGUAAUCUACAAAAGGCAACACAGAUCGGUUAGACCAGAUCUCCUCACCACCACCACCUCCUCCUCCUCCUCCUCCUCCGGGGGAAAAAAGCUGUGAAAGGAUCCAACACAGCAUCAUCACAGCUCAAGAGUUCUAUUUCAAUUCAUUGAAGGUUGAGUCUGAAGCCAGUAAAAUGGAGUAUUCAGGAUGAACAACAGGUCAGACCCUGGGUUAGAAUGUAUACUCUCUUCACUCACAUUCAAGAAGAAGGUCUGGAGAUCGGAUAUCGUUCCAAUACGUUGAUCGAAACCUGGGUCGAAUCGUUCAACAACGUUUGAGUCCAUGAAUGACCCAAAUCAAGGCUUCAGAUAAACCACGGUUGGCUCGGUUACACACUUCCUCUACCCUCCCUGAAGCAAUCUGACAGAAUUGUAUGGAUAGAAGUACCAAUCACAGCUUGGGUCCCAAAAGUGUCUCGGGGUUAAAGGUUAAUCCAACAGAAGGAUUUGAUCAAAGCGUCAGAAGCACUGUCCAAUCUAGAAACAGGUCUGUCUG